rnacentral:rRNA from 1 species
GAAUUUUGGACAAUGGGCGAAAGCCUGAUCCAGCAAUGCCGCGUGCAGGAUGACUGCCCUAUGGGUUGUAAACUGCUUUUGUCCUGGAAUAACCACCACUACGUGUAGUGGCUUGAAUGUACUGGAAGAAUAAGGAUCGGCUAACUCCGUGCCAGCAGCCGCGGUAAUCCGGAGGAUCCGAGCGUUAUCCGGAUUUAUUGGGUUUAAAGGGUGCGUAGGCGGCUCAUUAAGUCAGGGGUGAAAGACGGCAGCUCAACUGUCGCAGUGCCUUUGAUACUGAUGAGCUUGAAUGUGGUUGAAGAUGGCGGAAUGAGACAAGUAGCGGUGAAAUGCAUAGAUAUGUCUCAGAACUCCGAUUGCGAAGGCAGCUGUCUAAGUCAUUAUUGACGCUGACGCACGAAAGCGUGGGGAUCGAACAG